GGUGAGCAGACCACUCUAGCUUUUAACAAACACUGGUAGAGGUGGUAAUGAGACCCAAGAAACUACAAAAAGCAAUCCAGGAUGAUUGAUCAUGGAGACAGCAGAGUCAAGAAAGGAAUUCUAGACCAGCUCUCCGGCCUGCUUGGCUUCAGGUCUGUGACCUCAUUCUGGCUUAAUAAGCGACCUUUGGCACAUAACCCCAGCCGCUCUCAGGUUCGACUUCCUCUCCUUAAAAUGGUUCACCGUGAAGAUCCAAGAAAAUAAGGAACAGCAAUCCAUGGCGUCUCUUCUAGAGUCUCGGUGCUUCCCAGAUUGGAGAGCUGAGUGCUUGGCUGUAACCCAGGGCUGGAGAUAUUGGAGUCGCCCAUCUGAUUCUGAAAUUAAAAGGAAAAGUAUAUCAUGUGAACAGUUUGCUGACUACUAUUUGGCUCAUAAGACAUCUGAGGUUAUCAGCAAUGCUAUUUUAAAAACAAGCAAAAAUUCCCCCAAAUGUUUUGCUUUGGACCCUCAGAAAAUGCUGAACACGAAGACUUAGCCACAGGAUAUAUUUCUGAGUUCUUAAGAGAAUCAGAAAAGAACAGCAUAUUGUUUACGUAAAGCACGGGAGAAAAAACAUGCAGCUAUGAAUACCACUCUUCUCUUUUUCAAAAAGUUUUCAUUCUACCGAAAGAAAUCUCACAGGGACUCCCCUGUGAGAGGAAUAAAUAGCUACUGUCAUCAAGGUAUUGUUCUUUGAAAAAAAAACCUGGUUACAAAAGAGUUAAUAAAAGCAACUUUUAAAACUAGUUAAUAAUAAAACUAGUGUAGAGAAGCAUACCACACAC